UCUAAUAUGGCAGAAAAAUGCAUUGGAUUUAAACCCCAUAAAUAAAGUUUUAAACUUUUUUUAGAA
rnacentral:tRNA from 1 species